rnacentral:rRNA from 1 species
AUGAACGCUGGCGGCGUGCUUCACCCCUGCCAGUCGCACGAAGCACUUUAUUUGAUUUCCUUCGGGACUGAUUAUUUUGUGACUGAGUGGCGGACGGGUGAGUAACGCGUGGGUAACCUGCCUUGUACAGGGGGAUAACAGUUGGAAACGGCUGCUAAUACCGCAUAAGCGCACGGCAUCGCAUGAUGCAGUGUGAAAAACUCCGGUGGUAUAAGAUGGACCCGCGUUGGAUUAGCUAGUUGGUGAGGUAACGGCCCACCAAGGCGACGAUCCAUAGCCGACCUGAGAGGGUGACCGGCCACAUUGGGACUGAGACACGGCCCAAACUCCUACGGGAGGCAGCAGUGGGGAAUAUUGCACAAUGGGCGAAAGCCUGAUGCAGCGACGCCGCGUGAGCGAAGAAGUAUUUCGGUAUGUAAAGCUCUAUCAGCAGGGAAGAUAAUGACGGUACCUGACUAAGAAGCACCGGCUAAAUACGUG